AAAGAAAUUGCGGCCGGUGUUGG
rnacentral:siRNA from 1 species